AGGCACUUGGCGAGGAAGUUCCUGAAGAUAUGGAUGCAGAACACCUUUGGCCGGAUUCUUCCUCAUAAAGCCAAGUCCCACUAUAACAGCGUGGUGUUGAGACGGGUCUUUGAAGGAUGGAGAGACGAGUGGUGGACGUCCAGGAGAGAGUGGAGUCUUACGAUGCGGGCAGAGUGUCACUACAGGUAUUAUCUGUGUAACUUGGCAUUUCAGAGGUGGCGGACGUUAAUGUCAUUGCAGAGGGAGAAGAGAAGGAAAGUCCAAAUUGCUCAGUCUUUUGGUAUGAUUUUUUUUUUUUUUUACAAAUGUUUUUAAUUGAGGUUUUCAAAGUUAACAUACAGCUGAAAAAGGCAUGGUGUGAAGAUUCAAUUUCUUAUGCCAAUGUAUU